rnacentral:SRP_RNA from 1 species
GUUGGGCAUGGUGGCACAUGCCUGUAAUCCCAGCUACUCAGGAGGCUGAGGCAGGAGAAUUGCUUGAACCCGGGAGGCAGAUGUUGCAGUGAGCUGAGAUACAGCCACUGCACUCUAGCCUGGGCAACAGAGCAAGAUCCCGUCUCUA